rnacentral:rRNA from 1 species
CGCUUAGUGAUUAAUAAUUAUACUAAGUCGAGCCUGCCCAAUGAUUAAUUUUCAAUGGCCGCAGUAAAUUGACUGUGCAAAGGUAGCAUAAUAAUUUGUUUUUUAAUUGGAGACUAGAAUGAAUGGCCUGACGUAAGAAAAGCUGUCUCUUUUAUUUAUAUUGAAGUUUACUUUUAAGUUAAAAGGCUUAUAAAUAUAAUUAAGGGACGAGAAGACCCCAUUAAGUUUUAUAAAAAUUAAUAAAUAUUAUUAUCUAAAAUAUUAUUAAUAUUAUUUUUCUGGGGCGGAAGUAAUAAAUUUAUCUUUUACUAACUUAAAAAUUGAUAAAUUUAUAUAAUGAACUUUUAUUAAAAUUUAUAAGAUAAAUUACUAUGGGGGUAACAGCGUUAUUCUUUUGGAAAGUUCAAAUUAAUAAAAGAGAUUGCGACCUCGAUGUUGGAUUAAAUUUUCCUUAUAAUGAAGAAGUUAUAUAAGAUAGGUUAGUCUGUUCGACUAAGAAAAAAUUACA